rnacentral:rRNA from 1 species
CAGCCGCCACGGUAAUACGUAGGGUGCAAGCGUUAAUCGGAAUUACUGGGCGUAAAGCGUGCGCAGGCGGUUUGUUAAGACAGAUGUGAAAUCCCCGGGCUUAACCUGGGAACUGCAUUUGUGACUGGCAAGCUAGAGUAUGGCAGAGGGGGGUGGAAUUCCGCGUGUAGCAGUGAAAUGCGUAGAUAUGCGGAGGAACACCGAUGGCGAAGGCAGCCCCCUGGGCCAAUACUGACGCUCAUGCACGAAAGCGUGGGGAGCAAACAGGAUUAGAUACCCCGGUAGUCCCUGUCUCUUAUAC